GACGAGGAUUCAUCGCACAAUGGAA
rnacentral:misc_RNA from 1 species